rnacentral:misc_RNA from 1 species
UUUCCGUAGGUGAACCUGCGGAAGGAUCAUUAUUGUAUAACCGAGGUGCGAGGGCUGUCGCUGACCCGAAAGGUCGUGCACGCCCGAGUGCACUCACACACAUCCAUCUCACCCCUAUGUGCACCACCGCGUGGGUCCCCCUUUGGCUUGUUCGGAGGGGGGCUUACGUGUUCACACAAACUUUGUAUGCAGUGUAGAAUGUAUUUUUUGUUUUUGCGAUCACGCAAGCAAUACAACUUUCAACAACGGAUCUCUUGGCUCUC